UGAGGAAUAUUGCGCAAUGGACGAAAGUCUGACGCAGCCAUGCCGCGUGAAGGAUUGAAGGUCCUAUGGAUUGUAAACUUCUUUUGUAUAGGAAUAAACUUCCGCUCGUGAGCGGAACUGAAGGUACUAUAAGAAUAAGCACCGGCUAACUCCGUGCCAGCAGCCGCGGUAAUACGGAGGGUGCAAGCGUUAUCCGGAUUUAUUGGGUUUAAAGGGUCCGUAGGCGGGUCUUUAAGUCAGUGGUGAAAGCUCCUAGCUCAACUAGGAAACUGCCAUUGAUACUGAAGAUCUUGAGUACGUAUGAAGUUGGCGGAAUGUGUGGUGUAGCGGUGAAAUGCUUAGAUAUCACACAGAACACCGAUUGCGAAGGCAGCUGACUAAUACGAAACUGACGCUGAGG
rnacentral:rRNA from 1 species